rnacentral:rRNA from 1 species
AUUGAACGCUAGCGGGAUGCUUUACACAUGCAAGUCGAACGGCAGCGCGGACUUCGGUCUGGCGGCGAGUGGCGAACGGGUGAGUAAUGUAUCGGAACGUGCCCAGUAGCGGGGGAUAACUACGCGAAAGCGUAGCUAAUACCGCAUACGCCCUACGGGGGAAAGGGGGGGAUCGCAAGACCUCUCACUAUUGGAGCGGCCGAUAACGGAUUAGCUAGUUGGUGAGGUAAAGGCUCACCAAGGCGACGACCCGUAGCUGGUUUGGGAGGACGACCAGCCACACUUGGACUGAGACACGGCCCAGGCUCCAACGGGAGGCAGCAGUGGGGAAUUUUGGACAAUGGGGGCAACGCUGAUCCAGCCAUCCCGCGUGUGCGAUGAAGGCCUUCGGGUUGUAAAGCACUUUUGGCAGGGAAGAAAAGUUUCGGGCUAAUACCCUGGAGCGAUGACGGUACCUGCAGAAUAAGCACCGGCUAACUACGUGGCAGCCGCCGCGGUAAUAC